CUCUUCUGCUUGACUCAGAUGUUUUUGAGAUGGAGAAAGCUUUCAAUGUCUAAGUCUCUGCCUUAAUACUCUUUAUUAGUCUUUUAAGCCAAGUAAUGUCCUCAAGAUAGUUCGGGGAUGUCUCAGGUGUGGACCAUUACACAAUUAAAUUAGCAAACCUGAGGGAUUGGAUUAGGACUCAGCGGGGGACACCUGGGGAUGCCAGGGCCCAGCCGAGUUUUCGACUAGCAGGGUUCUGGCCAUGAAUAAAUAGUGAGGGUCAGCUCGCUAGGUAGACUCAGUCACAAACUUGUCUUACCAGAUAAAGUGUUGCAGAUUAAACUAUUUUACCCCCCUGGGAGCAGGUCUCUGUGGCCGUAGGAGUGUAUAGGAAAACCAUCAGCCGAUGUGUCAAGUGGAAGGGAAAACUGAAGUCGAAGGAUUCGUGGCUUUUCACAUACAAAGGCAUCCUCCCAUCCCUCCUGGCCAGCCAGCGAAGGAUGGACAAGUGCACCUGGAGGCUACUGCCCAGGUGCAAGGGGUGGGUGUGGGGCAAGCUGCAGAAUGCCCCAGAACAAAGACACCUCCAGGGGCCUCCUCGGAGGUCACCCGCUGCCUCCAGGGCAGAUUAAGGAGGACUGGAGAUGGCGCUUGGAGGAAAUGGUGCUGUUCUUUGGGAAAUCAAUUCGUCCCACCCUUAAUAGGGUGUUUUGCCCUCCCUCUUUGGGAGUUCCAGGCAAUGGGCUUCCAGGUCUCUACGGUUCUGAAAGAGGCGGCCCCUUUGCCAGCCCAUGUUCCUUCAAACAGCCCAGGCCCCACAAGAAUCUCUUCUGCUCUCUGCCACGUUUCCUUUCCCUUUUCUCCCUCUUUCAGGCUCUCCCGCCCCUCUCUAUACCCAAGCUCCUUUCAUAAUGAGGCUGGAAGUGGAACUUUCCCCCACUCCCUUACUUUGAGAUUUCUUUUUUCCCAGUGACCUGGGCUGCACUUUACCCCCACUCCCUGCCUGCCAAUCUCCUCAGGGUUAGGGCCUUUCUCUAUCCAUUCUUUCAGGUUCCCCCUCCUUGAGAGCUCCAGGAGGCCAGGCCUUCCAGAAUCUGAUCUCCUUCCAACACUGCAGCCCCCCUGAGGAGGAAGGAAGAAGCCUCCUCCGAAUGAAUGGCCGUAUUCUCAGGACUCCAAAAUGAGGCCUCCUUUUUCUAACUGCGGGCUGAAGUGGUUCAUUACUGCUGUUUCCUCCGCCAGGCCAGGACUCAGCCAUUCCCACUACUGAAGUUCCACAAGGGGCAAAAAUCCUUGUCGUGGCUAAAGUUUCCCUAGCUGUUGGAGGAAGGCGGCUCACGGGGACUCCAACAGUCCCCCUUCCUUUGUUAGGAGGCUGAGGACCAGGGCCAAGCUGGGAAAUUAAAGAUUAAGUUCAUUAAGAAGUGACAGAAUGGAAGAUAUGCCUGAGUUCCCUGGAGAACAAUGAGAGGUUUCACAGAACUCAAUUUGGAAGAUGACGCACGUGUUGUAGUUACAGAGUGAUAUUCCCGUGACACUUGUAAGUGGGAAGUGAAUUGGACACCAGAUGAGCAUAAAGCUCCCGUAGAAGGCAAAGACCUUUCCUCGUCUGAAUUACUGCCACCAUGAAAUAGAUUGAAAAAAAUAUAUCAUUUUAUAUCAACCAGUAGCAUCCCAAUCCACAGAGGGGUGUCUCCUAAAGCUAUCAAGAUAGUAUCAGAGUCUUAAUCAUUUCUGGAAUAGUGAGAGCCCCAACAUCAACCAGCACCCACAAAGGCUGCAACCCCAGGGCCAGCUGCCAUCACCUGGGACAGACACCCGCUUGGGAUUCAAUCUCUGAACUCUGACCCAGAGCAUGUGCCGGCGGGCUCCUGCUAUUCACCCAGGCAUGGUGGCAGAGUGGGCCCUGACCUCCUGGAGCUAGAGAAUCACAAAGCCCUGGUCAUUGCUGUCGAGAGAGCUGGGAACAGCAUGGGACUGCUGCAAACACACCCACACACAUAUGAACGUGCACUAAAUAUCCGUAAUCAAAUACUCCUCAUGGUGGACACACACUUAGUUAAUGCAGCCUGGCCCCAUGUGAAGCUGUGCAACAUCGUGGGAAGCAGCACAGCUUCAGAAGGAGACUGGAUUCAACAUUCAGCUAUCAGUUUUUUCUCUAAACCUCUGUUUUCUCCUCAAUAAAAUGGGGAUAAUAAUAGCAUCCCCCUCAGGGAUUUUAUAAGAAUUCAAUGAAGCCAUAUGUAAAAAUCUCUAGCCCAGUGUCUUGCAUAGGAAAACAAAAAUUCCAUUGAUGUUAGCUGUUAUUAUCAAUAAUAAAAAUUGAAGUUUACAAGUAGG
ensembl:lncRNA